rnacentral:lncRNA from 1 species
GCAGUAGGGAUGACCAGGGAUGUUCUCUGUUUAGUGAGUCCUCCAGAUCAGAGGCAGUAGGGAUGACCAGGGAUGUUCUCUGUUUAGUGAGUCCUCCAGAUCAGAGGCAGUAGGGAUGACCAGGGAUGUUCUCUGUUUAGUGAGUCCUCCAGAUCAGAGGCAGUAGGGAGGACCAGGGAUGUUCUCUGUUUAGUGAGUCCUCCAGAUCAGAGGCAGUAGGGAUGACCAGGGAUGUUCUCUGUUUAGUGAGUCCUCCAGAUCAGAGGCAGUAGGGACGACCGGGGAUGUUCUCUGUUUAGUGAGUCCUCCAGAUCAGAGGCAGUAGGGACGACCGGGGAUGUUCUCUGUUUAGUGAGUCCUCCAGAUCAGAAGCAGUAGGGAUGACCGGGGAUGUUCUCUGUUUAGUGAGUCCUCCAGAUCAGAGGCAGUAGGGACGACCAGGGAUGUUCUCUGUUUAGUGAGUCCUCCAGAUCAGAGGCAGUAGGGAUGACCGGGGAUGUUCCCUGUUUAGUGAGUCCUCCAGAUCAGAGGCAGUAGGGAUGACCAGGGAUGUUCUCUGUUUAGUCAGUCCUCCAGAUCAGAGGCAGUAGGGAUGACCAGGGAUGUUCUCUGUUUAGUGAGUCCUCCAGAUCAGAGGCAGUAGGGACGACCAGGGAUGUUCUCUUGAUAAGUGUGUGAAUUGGACCAUUUUCCUGUCCGGCUCAGCAUUCGAAAUGAAACAAGUACUUUUGUGUGCCAGGGAAACUU